AGCCAUGCAAGUUACUGGAAGAAGGACGAAAAGCUCAGUGAAACUACGAUGAUUUGGUCUGGCAGAGAGAUAACCACGCGAAAGUGUGGCUAAGGCGGCAGAAGAAGACGUAGACCUAUCAGUUAGUUGGCAGUGUAAUGGACUACCAAGACAGCGACGGGUACGGGGAAUCAGGGUUUGAUGCCGGAGAGGGAGCCUGAGAGAUAGCUCCCACGUCCAUGGACGGCAGCAGGCGCGAAAAUUGCCCACUCUUGAAGGAGGCAGUUAUGAGACGUGAGGAAGAAUGCUUGGCAAAGAGGAGCAGGAGAAUUGGAGGGCAAGUUUGGUGCCAGCAGCCGCGGUAAUACCGACUCCAAGAGUGUGUAUGAGAGAUGCUGCAGUUAAAAAGUCCGUAGUCGAGGGAAGCAAAGAGUGCGCAGGCAGAAAGGAGCGAGAUGGAAGAACCGAUGGGGAACAUAGUAUACCAGGGCGAGAGAUGAAAUGCCAAGACCCCUGGUGGACUGAGCGAGGCGAAGGCGGUGUUCUGGGAGGAAUCUGGUGAUCAAGGACGAAGGCUGGAGGAUCGAAGGUGAUUAGAUACCGCUGUAGUUCCAGCAGUAAAAGAUGCCGACAUGCCUGGCGCAAUGUGCAGGGCAGGGAGAAAUCUUAGAGUCCGGGCUCUGGGGAUAGUAUGCUCGCAAGAGUGAAAAUUGAAGAAAUU
rnacentral:rRNA from 1 species